GAUGAACGCUGGCGGCGUGCCUAAUACAUGCAAGUCGAGCGAACAGAUGAGGAGCUUGCUCCUCUGACGUUAGCGGCGGACGGGUGAGUAACACGUGGAUAACCUACCUAUAAGACUGGGAUAACUUCGGGAAACCGGAGCUAAUACCGGAUAAUAUAUUGAACCGCAUGGUUCAAUAGUGAAAGACGGUUUUGCUGUCACUUAUAGAUGGAUCCGCGCCGCAUUAGCUAGUUGGUAAGGUAACGGCUUACCAAGGCAACGAUGCGUAGCCGACCUGAGAGGGUGAUCGGCCAGACUGGAACUGAGACACGGUCCAGACUCCUACGGGAGGAAGCAGUAGGGAAUCUUCCGCAAUGGGCGAAAGCCUGACGGAGCAACGCCGCGUGAGUGAUGAAGGUCUUCGGAUCGUAAAACUCUGUUAUUAGGGAAGAACAAAUGUGUAAGUAACUAUGCACGUCUUGACGGUACCUAAUCAGAAAGCCACGGCUAACUACGUG
rnacentral:rRNA from 1 species